AGAAAAAGUGUGGGAUUUCAAGGAAUCAAGCAAUCAAAGGUGGUGAGCCCUCUAACAAGGGUAAAGAGAUUGUGCCCGAAGACCGAGAAUAAGAGUAUAUCGAAUUUCUAGUACUGGUCAGAGUAGGCUGUAGAUAGCUGGUUCCAUCGAGGAUUUCCAUUGGAUUGCGUCUUCCAAACUGUAGGUUCACAGCUUCUUUAAUUCUAGUUAUUAUGAGCCCACUUGAUAUUGUAAAUUUAAUAAUUUA